rnacentral:misc_RNA from 1 species
AUUCAUUAAUAUCGUGUCAAUAGAGAUUUAACACUUUCAAAACAGAGAGAAAAAUGAGAAAUAUUGAUGAAUCUGAUGUGACGCUUGAAUCUUUGCCUCGUUUCUGGGAUUACACGUCACAUUUCAUUAUGGAUCCCCAUGGAGAAUUCGUGCUGCAAUAUUUGGGGAGUACCACUCUCGCCAAAGCGACCUCUUCCGGACUCGGUACCAUUCAGAAACCUUUACGUGACAGUUAUUUUGAAUACAGAAAACAUUCCGGAAAGAAACACAAAUCCAAAGACCUAACGGAAGUGGCGCUUCAGAUAACUCCCAAUGGCAUAGCCGUUAUUGUUGCUGGGGUAAGUCCCGGAAGUGAACUUUUUUACGACAUGCAGUCCAUUUCCUUUUUUGAGGCCGUACGAUUUACGACAGUGAAAGGCCACGAUAAGAAAAUUCAGGGCGGGUUUGUUCCCAUAGAUAUCAACCGGGCGCCUAAUACAGGGUCGGAAAAACUGUUUACGCCAUUAGACAAAAAACACAGCAAUCUGGCGAAGGUGGACCACCCUCCACUGUUAGCGCUUGUUAUGAGAAGGAAUUCUGGUGUGCGGGCGUUAGAAUGUCACGGAUUCGUGUGUGAUAACGAAGACCAGGCAUUACGUAUAACACAGCUGAUAUACAUGUUACAAACUCGCAUGAUGGAGCCAGGAAGGCCCGAGUACAUGAGGCAACCCUCUGAUCCCAAUUACGAUAGAGAGCCACCCCAAGUACGCCGACCUGAUAUUUUGCAAACAACUGAGGGUCAAAGGCCGAUGCAACUGACCGAUGAAUAUCUGCGUGGUUCUCGGACCGGAGAGUGGGAGGAUUACCGACCGUUAUCUAGGAAAUGAACCACCUGGCGUGAAACGUGGUCUACCCCGAACUCCUUCAAUCGACGAACCACCAAUUCAUUCCCCAACACGUGACCGACCGCCAUCUUUUAAAGGCCCAGAAUACUCCGCAUCAAGUCUGGAGAGUAGACAGGAAAUUGAGCAACAGAGGUCUAAGCCUGUUGCUCGAGUUCCGCCACACCUUGUGGCCGGAGUCAAAGUUCUUCCGACGGGUUUUGCGGCAGCUAUUCAAAAGAAACAAGAAGAGAAGAAAUCUCCUCGCAGUCCGAAGCAAGAGCGAUACGCCGAAGAGGACCCUUAUGACAAUGCAAUGACUAGAAAAGAAUUUUAUGAGCACGAAUCAAAGAAGUUUGACCAUAAUUCUAAUGCGCAUGCCCCACCGGAUAUUGUUCCGAGGGUCGAUCAUGGGAGGGAGGAGGAUUAUAAUGACUACGACCGAGUGAUCCGGAGAGACCCCGAAGGUUACUACCCGAAAGGGCCUGCUAAUUUCAGACAUAGUGCUCCUUCGGAGGACCUCGGAAAACCUCACAAGCCUUGGUCUUACGAUGAACAAUUCCAAAAAUAUUCGCAAGAAAAGGAUAGAUUUGAUCCAUCUUAUGACACAUCACGUGACCCGCUGGAUGGGCCACCUGAUCACAGGCACGGCGAAAUGGCUGAAAUGUUUAACAAAAUGAAUAUUCAUAAUCCUAGCAGUCGAGCGGAAGUGCCAGAAACCAAUUUUGAACAAUCACUUGGAUAUUAUCCGUAAUUCUGAUCAAAAUCAUUCUAAUUAUACAUGUUACCCACAUAUUACGUAUUUUUUUUCUAUAGGAUUAUACAUGUAUAAUUAUAUUAUCUUCUUUGGCUCUCGCAAAAAUUUGAAACUUGAUAUGAGGAUAUUGUAAUUAGAGAUUUCAAACAGUCAACCUGGUUUUUAAUUUAAGAAAUCAAAAUUUACUUACAAGCUAUGUUAUAAAAAUGUAACAUAAACGUAUCAAGUUAAGCAAUUUUUUGUUGAUUUAUUUCAUACAGUCAUGUACUUCGCGUUUUAUGACCUAAGAUUACCUCUCCGCGUGAUUAUAUACAAUGUAUUUGCUUUACUUUAAACAGAAAUCUUUACAUGUGUACAUGAAACCUGAUAUAUAGAAAUGUAGAAACUCAUAGAUACAUGUAUGAAUGUAUGUUGUUCUGGUUUUGAAUUAACCAAUUCUCGUAUCACUGAAUUUGUUAUGUAAAUUUUUACUUCUAUAAUUAAUAUAAAAAGAAUUAUUUCAAAAUU